GUCACUCCUGGGAACUGCAUCAUUCUCACCUUUGCUCGCUUUUCAACGUUAAAAAAAGCAUUGUUGAUGGAUUGUGUUUGCCCUGACUGCCUGAGCAAGAGAGAGGAGAGCAGGAGAGAAGCUAUGUGAGAGAAACCAUGUGGAUCCAACUGAAACUCCAGAGCCUACAUCCAGGGAGGGAAAGAAAUCUCAACAUGUCCACAUUUAUGCUCUGGUUCUUCAAGAGGUUCAUCACGGGGCUCGUGAACAUAGGGCUGAUGAGACUGUGAGUCCCAGAGCCUGGCUUUUCCUCGGGGAUGGUAACAAAGGCAGGAGGUGGACUGAUGCUCGGCCCGAAAAUCAACGUGACCACUGGGGUGAACAGAGAAUAGUCCAGAGGAGUAGCCUCCUCCUCUCUCCCCCUCGAUGGUCAUCUCUGUGGCCCUGCAGGGAUUGUUUAGGGCAGAGAGCCGCGGCCCCAUCACUGCUCCGGGACUGGAUCCCCCAUGGCGUGUCCCAGGAGAAAUCGGAAGAGGGGCCCAGAGAUCCCAGCGAUGGCUCCUAGGAUCGACCGAAUGCUAACCAGUCACCUGACCAAAUCUCUCUCACUGCUACUACUCUGAUCAUCCUUCCCGCCGGCCAGUAUGCAGGAGGCUAGAGAUCAUCACACCUUGCUCGUGACCCUUUCACCAGAGAAGGAAAACAACGCAAGCCACACCAGACUAAGAGAAAGCAAACCCCUGGGCAAUGCCAGCCGUCCUCUCCGCUGCAGAAACACAAAGAGGAACCCUACGAAGAAAACAUCCUGCAACUCUCUCUAAUCUCAGUAAACCCUGAGACAGCAAACUA